CCAACGGCUCUUUUAAGAGCCACCCACACUUUUCUUAAAGGAGCUG
rfam:Mesitornis unicolor contig94309, whole genome shotgun sequence.